UGUCUGUCGCCAUAGCCAUAGCGCGCGCUUUGUGUGAUCUCGAUGCUUCACGUAAGCCUGCUUACACGAUGUUUGCUUUAGUGUGCUUCCGCGACGAUAACGUGAAGACUGUGUUCAGCGUGCACCAGAUGGAGACGUUCUGAGCCAUAAAUGUCUUGGAUUUCGACCGAUUUCGACCGAUUUCGGCUCUACAAAGUGGCACCAAGAAUAAUGGCAAGACGAGCAACAAGGCCCAUGUGCUCCGAUUGUUUGAAUUUUUCAGGCACUUCCUCGAGUGCGGAUGAGGCCCGCAAGAUCGCCAACAUCAUCAAGGGCCAGAAGAAGCACUUGUAGUUUUGAUUAUGAGAAUAUAUUUGAACAUAUGUCUCAUUCA